AAAACGCUAAUGGUGGCGCAAACAUGAAAUUCUCUCCGUCUUUCUGUUCUUCAUUGUUCGUUGGUAUUUUUUUUUUCUUUUUUUCUGAUCGAUCAUGUGCUCUGAUUCUUCGAUAUAAAGAAGAGAUGAAUAGCCAAAUCCAAUUAUGUAUUGGUAAACCCUAACUAUUUUCUGUCUCUUUAUUUCUCCGAAUCAAUGGGGCAGAGAAAACAUCUGUUAGGAUUUGAUACCAUAAUCUCUUUCCCUUAUCUGUUCUCCAUUAAUCUCUUUAUCACUCUCACUCGGUUUCUGUUUUUUACUUUUCCUUGAUUUUCACUAAAAAGAAACAAUUUUUUACUUCAUCUAAGGAAGAAGUCAGGCGCAUAGGUUUCAUCAGCUGAUAAGUGCGGCAAAAGGAUUCACAAGUAAAGGUGUGCAAAGGAAGCAAAGCCCCUCCAAUAUUGUGAAUGGUUGUUUUGGAGCUAUAGUGAUACAACUGCAGAUAUUCUGCAUUAUUUUAGGAGGAAUCAUCUGUUAUGAACUUAGCCUGGAGAAAACAUCAUCUUCAGUAUCCGAAGAAUUGCCCAAGAAGUAACAAAGAGGGAGGAACUUCCUGGACGUCGCCAAGAGGUACAGGCGCACAACUCAUCGUGGACACUCUUUUUUCUUCUUUUACGGUAAGAUCCAUCGUUGGCACAUGCGACAAAAUUGUGGCGUUGGACUGUCUGUUUGUAAUCCCGAUUUCAUCAAGACAGGACAUUAUUGGAACAAGUGAUGUAUAUAUAUUCUAUGACGUGAAGUCGGAGCUGAUAAACAUGUUAAGGGAAAAAUUCAAGGUUGAAGCACUCAAACAACAUAAUGAGCUGCUCUGGUGGUUAUUGCUGUUGUACCAUCUCCUUCAGCCAUCGCUGAUGCCUAAUUAGAAGUAGAAGAAAGCUGGUGCCUAAUUUGAAGCAGAAGAAAGAAAUGCUUUGAUUUGAAGCAGUUGCCACGUUCAAGCUAAAGCAGACACUAAACUAUCCGCUAGUUGCUUCUAAUAAAGCUUUUUUUUCAAUGAUUAUUUUCAUAUUCAUGGUAGUUUUAACGUCAUAGCGCUGGACACAGAGCCUAUUUAAAAAACUAUAUGUCUUCAUAGACAUGCUGCUGGUGCGUCUACUUAAACAACCGAACGACUUCGACAGGCUGGUGCUGCUGCUAAGGAAAAUAAAGCUUCGCUCUUGGUUGUGUAGAAAUUAGUGUGUAAAAGGACUAAAUGUAGAUCUUGGUUGGAUAAACAAAGACGAUAAUGUAAUUAAAUUGAUAAUGUUAAUCUAAAUUUUGAAAAGUAAUUAAAA